CUACGGGAGGCUGCAGUGGGGAAUAUUGCACAAUGGGCGCAAGCCUGAUGCAGCCAUGCCGCGUGUAUGAAGAAGGCCUUCGGGUUGUAAAGUACUUUCAGCGGGGAGGAAGGGAGUAAAGUUAAUACCUUUGCUCAUUGACGUUACCCGCAGAAGAAGCACCGGCUAACUCCGUGGCCAGCAGCCGCGGUAAUACGGAGGGUGCAAGCGUUAAUCGGAAUUACUGGGCGUAAAGCGCACGCAGGCGGUUUGUUAAGUCAGGUGUGAAAUCCCCGGGCUCAACCUGGGAACUGCAUCUGAUACUGGCAAGCUUGAGUCUCGUAGAGGGGGGUAGAAUUCCAGGUGUAGCGGUGAAAUGCGUAGAGAUCUGGAGGAAUACCGGUGGCGAAGGCGGCCCCCUGGAUGAAGACUGACGCUCAGGUGCGAAAGCGUGGGGAGCAAACAGGAUUAGAUACCCCCGUAGUC
rnacentral:rRNA from 1 species